rnacentral:rRNA from 1 species
GAAAUUUAACGGAUUUGGCGGCAAGAUAGCCCCUUAGAGGAACCUGCCCUGUAAACGAUGAACCACGAGGGACUCUACUUUCUUUGGUAGUCAGUUUGUAUAUCGCUGUUGUCAGUUAGAUUCUUGAGAAUAUUUUCGUUUAUGAAAAGUUCAUUGACUUCAAGUAAAGGUGCAGCUUAUAAGGAAGAUAGAGGUGGGUUACACUUAUGAGAAUAAAACGGAAAGGAUGGAUGAAACAAUCCUUGAAGGUGGAUUUAACUGUAAAACUUAAGUAGGUUUGGUGAGAGCUCUAUCUUGUGUACACACCGCCCGUC